GACAAACUGGCCCGAUCAAGUGGUGAGUUUGUUGCUCGAUACUGUCAGAGAAAGAGAGAAAAUUUGGAAUACCAAAAGUGAGCGCUACAAAAACAGAAAUAUGAAGAAUGCACACUACCAGGAAAUACUGCAGGCAAUCAAAGUUCAACUGCCAAACGUUGAUUUGCCAAGCAUCAAAGCAAAGAUAGAGCUUAAGAACAUUUUAUAGUGAAGAAGUUGGAAAAAUAAGAAAAAGCCGAGGUACAGGAGUUGGGGCUCGUGAAGUUUAUGUAUCAAAAUGGAAGUUUAUUGACCAGUGCAGUUUCUCGGAUGAAGUUAUAUCACACAAUCGUCAAGUAUUUACAAAUGCUAUUGAUGAACGUUUUGCACAAGACAGAGAAAACCAAUUAAAUGAUUCAAUUAUUGAUAAUGAAGAUACAGGAAGUGAAUGUAGUUUUAUUUCAAGCUCAAAGAAGAGAAAACAAUCACAUAGUCCAUUUCUUGAGUCAGCAGCAUCUGCCUUGAACCAGUUGGCAAAAUGAGCAACAUCUGCUCCUGAAGACCAGUGGGAUAUUUUUGGUAAAGAUGUGGCACAUGCAAUGCGUGGUCUGGCAGAUAAAGAUAUACAAAGACUUAUCAAGUUUGCCAUACAAUCAACUAUUUUUCAGGCCACAGAGCCCCCACGGGCUCAAUAACAACAAUUUAAUCAAGCAGAUUAAUCAAUAAAUAAUCAGUUUCAACCACGUUUUAUUAAACUAGGGUAUUUUAAAUGAACAUGUUUCAAUGAUUAAACUUCUACAUCAAAA